CACAAUCCAACCUCUACUGCACUUCCAUUCCAGCAGCAGAAGGGUUAACCUUGGCCCCAUUCCCUCAAUUGUCCAUUGAGUAGACCUUUUUAAAUAAGUGUCAGUUUGCAGGGGUAGACUCCUCCCCUAUAUUCUGGCUGGGGAUCCUACUGUUGCAGGUCCGCAUUAGCAGUUUACCCAGGAAAGGAACAGGAUUUCUUGCAGAUCCAGCAAGCAAAGGGGAGCAUCAUAUGCCCUCCCCUUCUCCCCCCACCCACCACCAAAAAUAUUUUUUUUAAAAAUAAAAAAAAUCAACGAUCCAGGACAUUCUAACAAGAAGACUAUAAGAGCAGGAGAGGAAACUGAUCUUUUAUCAAACUAGGAAAUCUCUGCACUUUUACUGGAGCUCUGAUUUGAUUUUUAUUUUAUUUUAUUUUUUUCUAUUUUCCUACAACUUUUGGAGAAACUUCAGACUUUUGGCACGUCCACCCUUUUUCCCGGAUUGUAGAAAGAAACUGCAGCCUGAUCGUGUGGCUGGGACUGAAGAAAACAAGGGGGAGUUGGUUACAGUUUUGGGAAGUUUUUGUCGGUUUCUAAAGUUGGGGGUCGCUGGAUUUUAAGGGGUGAUUCCCCCACGUUUGUUUUUAGGCCUUUGUCUUCUUUUCUUUUUACACAAACAUAUAUAUUUGUUGAUUCAGAGUGGGGGGGGGGCAAUGCAGAGCAGAUUGUAACAUACAAAAGACAUUCUGUUGCCGAAAGAAAACAUCUCAUUCCUAAGGAGCCUGCAGGAAGUUUGCUCUGAGAGGGAGGGGGGAGAAGCCUG